UAAAUAUAACUUUCAACAAUGGAUCUCUUGGCUCUCGCAUCGAUGAAGAACGCAGCGAAAUGCGAUAAGUAAUGUGAAUUGCAGAAUUCAGUGAAUCAUCGAAUCUUUGAACGCAUCUUGCGCUCCUUGGUAUUCUGAGGAGCAUGCCUGUUUGAGUGU
rnacentral:rRNA from 1 species